rnacentral:rRNA from 1 species
UACGGAGGGUGCAAGCGUUAUCCGGAUUCACUGGGUUUAAAGGGUGCGUAGGUGGGCAAGUAAGUCAGUGGUGAAAUCUCCGGGCUUAACCCGGAAACUGCCAUUGAUACUAUUUGUCUUGAAUACUGUGGAGGUCAGCGGAAUAUGUCAUGUAGCGGUGAAAUGCUUAGAUAUGACAUAGAACACCAAAUUGCGAAGGCAGCUGGCUACACGAAUAUUGACACUGAUGCACGAAAGCGUGGGGAUC